GCGCGCGUUUGCACUGUGAGGGAGCUGCAAUUGUGGUACCAUCAGAAGACACCUGUUGAAUGUGUUUUAUGUCUUCUGCAGGCACGUUUGCACUGUGCAGAAUAAACCGUGAACAGCCAACCCUACUGAGCGUCUGUGAUUUGUGAAGAACGGAAGCGUUACACUUCCUACGGCGGACAGCUAACAACAGGAAUCGGACGCGCGGUCCACCCUAGUCCACAGCAACCACCAAGCAACAGCCUAGCAUGUCUUUAAAACACAUUCUUUAUUCAUAACUAUCAAAAACGUGAAAUUAUUUGUAAAGUGUGAAAGUGUUACAGCUGCAGAGAGCUAUGGCGGUAUCUUUGGAAGCUGUUUACAUAGCUAAUAAUAUACGAUGUAACCAUGGAGACAGUCAGUGACGUGAGCUAGCGGUGCACGUUUACUACAGUGAUUAAGGUGAUUGUGUGCACAGCGUCCACACGCUGCAGAGGGUAAAGACAUUACUUCAGUAUUGUUUUAUAUUUAUAUAUAUU